rnacentral:ncRNA from 1 species
GAUCGGGUGGUGCGCAGUGGGUAUGCGCGCCGAGAAUUGAUCGGAUGUUGUCGUCUCUAUUGGGCAGACCGCCGGGGCCCGACGGCGC